CGAUGAUUACUAGGAGUUUGCGAUAUACCGUCAAGCUUCCACAGCGAAAGCGUUAAGUAAUCCACCUGGGGAGUACGCCGGCAACGGUGAAACUCAAAGGAAUUGACGGGGGCCCGCACAAGCGGAGGAACAUGUGGUUUAAUUCGAUGAUACGCGAGGAACCUUACCCGGGAUUGAAAUGUAGAUGACGGAUGGUGAAAACCGUCUUCCCUUCGGGGCGUCUAUGUAGGUGCUGCAUGGCUGUCGUCAG
rnacentral:rRNA from 1 species